rnacentral:lncRNA from 1 species
AGACAUCCCUGGAAUAGAGGAAAUCUCCCACCCUUGUGACAGUGAAGGAAAUUAUACUGUUGGCUAUGACUUUGUGUGCUUCAAAACAUCAGGAGAAUCAGAUGAAGAAAGCAUCUUCAGCACCCAGCUCAUCUUCAGCUUAGAAGACUCAUGGGAUCUACAGAUGACUCAAAGACAAGAGGGAAACCAAAAUCAUCAGAUGACAGAGCUGGAAAAGGCACUUUAAAGGCUAGAACAUUAGUCUGAACCUAAUAAAAUGAUAA